GGGCUUGACUUGGUUUCGAUGGGGCACAUGAAAUUAAAUAAGCGUGCGGCGGAGCGUGGACACCGCCUCAAAAAGACACAACAAAAUAAAUGCUAAAACAAGCAGACCCGUAGCUCUUGCAGCUUAAUUGCUGUAAUCUACAAACGAUACUAGUUAUCGUCUCAAGCUGUUAAGUAGUGUUGGUCACGAGCUAACGCUUAAUGGUUAAAACUAAUUCGUGGUAUCUACUGAUGGGCAAUGGCGAGGGCAUAUUCAGAGAUUAUAAUGAUGCUAUAGCGACCAAUAUGGAGGAAGAUGAACCACCAAGUUGGAGUUAUUCAAAUAGUAAAAAUCAUCUGCGCACGGAGAAAGUUUAGUUGAUUUGUUUCAGACAGGGGUUCGACUCCCCUCAGGUCCACUU
rnacentral:tmRNA from 1 species